rnacentral:lncRNA from 10 species
UCUAUGUGUACCAUGACAUAAAAAGUUGGAAAGCACUAGAAACUCUAGAAGAGAGGGUGUUAAGAAGUGAUUAGGGGAGCCAAAUAGAAUUGUAUGUCUGCGUAAGUGGGGCUGGGAAGGCGUGCAUGUCUGCAUGGUCAGAAGGGGUCACAGAAAUGAAUGGGACGAUCCGUGAGGGUGGGUGGGUGGCUGUUUCAAAUCACAAAGCUUAAACAGAAGUGUUCACCUGUAUAAGCAAAUAACGAGCUGCAAUGUGUGAGCCACCUUCUCCUUUGCUUCCUCCUGGCCAAUGCUAUCUGUAACUGAAUAUUUCUGAAGAAGUCUGUCACUUUACGUGACUUCAUCAUAAAACUUCCUAUUGAUGUGCCAAUUGACAAGAGAGUUAAGGUCACAAUUUUAUGGAUUUUCACUACCAUAUACAUUUAUAACUCCUUCUAGUAUUUGUAGUAAAUAAGUAACAUUGCCUUAUACACAAGGCACCACUGCAAUGUCAUUAUAAAAUGACCCCAUUAAAGGGUUGACUUAUAUAUGCAGAAUUUUUUUUUUUUUUUUUGAGAUGGAGUCUCACUCUGUUGCCCAGGCUGGAGUGCAAUGUCGCCAUCUCGGCUCACUGCAACCUCUGCCUCCUGGGUUCAAGCGAUUCUCCUGCCUCUGUCUGUUGGGUAGUUGGGAUUACAGGCGCCCACCACCACGCCCAGCUAAUAUUUGUAUUUUUGGUAGAGACAGGGUUUUGCCAUGUUGGCCAGGCUGGUCUCAAACUCCUGACCUUAGCUGAUCCACCCGCCUCCCCCUAAAUAUGCAGAUUUUUAAAAAACCACGUUGGGGCUCAUAAAGUAACAUUGCAUUUGCACAUUUUCUAACAUUAAGCUUUGUAUGGCUUAAAUCUCUGUAGGAAUGGGCUUUCCUCGUUCCCUUGGAGGAGACUGCGUGGGUUUCUAGACUAUACUAAGGUGAUUCUGAUGAACAGCAGCCUUGGAAACGACUGCCUUAGGGGACUUGCUGCUAUAAAUAAAGAAGACAGAU